UACGGAGGGUGCGAGCGUUGUCCGGAAUCAUUGGGCGUAAAGAGCGUGUAGGCGGCCCGGUAAGUCCGCUGUGAAAGUCCAGGGCUCAACCCUGGGAUGCCGGUGGAUACUGUCGGGCUCGAGUCCGGAAGAGGAGUGUGGAAUUCCUGGUGUAGCGGUGAAAUGCGCAGAUAUCAGGAGGAACACCAAUAGCGAAGGCAGCUCGCUGGGACGUUACUGACACUGAGGCGCGAAAGCUAGGGGAGCAAACAGG
rnacentral:rRNA from 1 species